GUGGUGGACCUCUUAAAGCACCUGCAGAGGAUAACGUGUGAUCACAAUGUGAACUGGAGCAACUCGUACAAGGAGCUGGAGCAGAGGAUCGACUCCAUGGAGCAGAAGAUGGAUGCGCUGAGAAUAGCCUUCCAUGACAUAUCACAGCCCCUCUCCAGAGCCGUGCAGCACAGAGCAGAGGACUACAGCCUCACGUAGAGCCCAGGGUGAGGGGCUGGGGCUGGGAGGGUGUCUGUCUCCAGCCACCCGUCUGUCUGCCUGUCUGUCCAACAAGACUCUUGUUGACCAGGAAUAGUUGGACCAGAGCAGCUGUUGUUCUAUCCUCCAAACACCAGGGGGCAGACUACAGCUUGUGAAUAGCUACGGGACUCUGUGGUAAAGAAACUCAGGAAAGCUACUUGCCUCUUAACAAGCAAAUCAAAUGAUUUUUUAAAAUCUUUUUUCUUUAAGAAUGCAAACUGUGACGUGAACAAUUAGGGUUGAUCUGGGGUGCAUUUCCACGCUAUGACCAGGUCAUCUGGCUGUGUGUUUUCGUGAUCAGAUCACUGGACCUCACGGGUCCACUGAACCAGUGAACUCGGUCUGUGGCACGGCUCAUGGUUGUAAACAGCGUCAUGUGCACCUAUCUGUGCUCUGAGGUCAGCCGAUUCUGGCCUUCUAGCUAUUCCAAAGACUAAAACAAAGGGCGAAAGAGCUUUUAGCUGUAAUGCACCGAGAUUGUGGAAUAAAUAGAUUGCCAUCUGACAUCAGGGAAGCUCGGGUCACUAAGCUUGAGGUUAAAGUGUCAUUUUUUUUAAAUUAGCUUUUGAAUCCUGAUUUUGUGUCUCAAUCUAUUAAUAUUGUCAUUUUACUCUUCUCUUUUUAUUAAUGGUAUUUUUAUGUUUUUCCUUCACUGUGUUUCUGUUGCUUUUAAUUAUUGAAUUGUUCCUUAGUAACUGUUCUCUUGCUAAUCUUCUUAUUAUUAAUCGUACCAUGUUUUCUGUUGUCUGUGUUUAAUUUGACUGCAUUCUUGUUGUUGAUUUUACUGUAUUGUAAAUUGCUUUUGGGACACUGGUGUGAAAGGCGCUAUAUAAAUAAAUAAACUUUAAACUUUAACCAGA